UGAGGAAUAUUGGUCAAUGGGCGCAAGCCUGAACCAGCCAUCCCGCGUGAAGGAAGAAGGCGCUAUGCGUCGUAAACUUCUUUUUCAGGGGAAGAAUGUUGGGUACGUGUACCCAAUUGCCGGUACCCUGUGAAUAAGCAUCGGCUAACUCCGUUCCAGCAGCCGCGGUAAUACGGAGGAUGCGAGCGUUAUCCGGAUUUAUUGGGUUUAAAGGGUGCGUAGGCGGAUUGGUAAGUCAGUGGUGAAAUCCUGCAGCUUAACUGGGAGAUGCCGUUCUAAACUGCAGAGCUAGAGGAUGGUAGAGGGAGGUGGAAUUCCGGGUGUAGCGGUGGAAUGCGCAGAUAGCCGGAGGAACACCAGUGGCGAAAGCGGCCUCCUGGACCAUUCCUGACACUCAGACGCGAAAGCUAGGGUAGCAAACG
rnacentral:rRNA from 1 species